rnacentral:tRNA from 1 species
GCGGCAAAAAAAAUUGCCGCCAUCAAAAAACAUUGACACAUACAAAUAUUAACGUUUAAUGACAAUCGCCUUGCCAAGGCGAGGGCCGCGAGUUCGAAUCUCGUUUCGCGCU